UAACACGUGCGAUUGUCUCUACAAAUACAAUACGACGAAUCUUAUAUAAAAGUUUUAUUAUCUCUUGCAGCAAAAUAGAAGAUAGAAGUUUUUGUCUGUAAUGCUGUUGUGACUUAUUUAAUUUAAACAUUUUGCCAUCGUAAAUAAAUUUUUAGGAUAAAUUUUUAGGACAAGCAUCGAGACAUCGUGAUGUAUAUAUAGACGUUAAUAGAAAAAAAUCAGCUUCUACAAUAUAAAGAAAAUUAACAUCCGAUAAUGAUUUGAACAUCUUUAUGUAAGGAAGGUAAGUCUUAUAAAUAACAAGCAACUGCCCGCAGCUUAGGUUGCGUAAAAAUUAAUAACAUUUUCGAAGAGGGUCUGAAAAGUAUUUAAGGUUAGAUUUUCAACAAAAGCUGAAACAUGUGCAUGUGUAAGCACACAUCAGUAGUCCAGAAUUAAAAUUUGAUGUUUCCAGUUUCAAAAAUGAUAAACUUUAAAUUUAAACUUUCGACCCCUAUUUCAAGCCCUUAGAAGUAUAAUUUUUUGAUCUCCAUUCGUGGAUAGUGUACCGUAGAUUGCAAUCCACGAUGCUGAAAUAUGUAUUUGUUUAUUUUUAUUCAGUAGUUCAAAAAUUAAGUUUCAUGGUUUCAAACAUUAUAGACUUUCAAACAUACAAAUUUUCCUAUUUCACCCCCUUGGUAUAAUUUUUCAAAAUCUGUUGUUAUUGUUAGAGGAGUAGUGUCUAUUAGCUUACCUAACAGACACUUCUAAACUUGUAGUGUUUAUAGCAAAAAAACUGACGGACUUUCAUACCAACUUGCUUGAGCCCUUAGACCACUUGAAUUUGGUCCUGUCAUAAAAUCCGUUCUUGGACAUCCACAAACUAUUAUCUAUCUCUCUGCGAAAUGUCA